AUUGAACGCUGGCGGCAUGCUUUACACAUGCAAGUCGAACGGUAACAGGGUGCUUGCACCGCUGACGAGUGGCGAACGGGUGAGUAAUGCAUCGGAAUGUACCGUGUAAUGGGGGAUAGCUCGGCGAAAGCCGGAUUAAUACCGCAUACGCCCUGAGGGGGAAAGUGGGGGACCGAAAGGCCUCACGUUAUACGAGCAGCCGAUGUCUGAUUAGCUAGUUGGUGAGGUAAAGGCUCACCAAGGCGUCGAUCAGUAGCGGGUCUGAGAGGAUGAUCCGCCACACUGGGACUGAGACACGGCCCAGACUCCUACGGGAGGCAGCAGUGGGGAAUUUUGGACAAUGGGCGCAAGCCUGAUCCAGCCAUGCCGCGUGUCUGAAGAAGGCCUCGGUGUAA
rnacentral:rRNA from 1 species